rnacentral:rRNA from 1 species
CAGUCGUGCAGUCAUCGAUUCAACGGUUUAAAUGCUUGCUUUUGCUUGUGUUUGUCCGUGCAUUUUGGUGUCUGCUGGUCAGCGUCAAUUUCGAUUGUCAUAAAAAGGUCAGAGGGAUGUGGCUCUUUCGGGAGUGUUAUAACCUUUGGCGGUAUGUGGCGAUCGGGAUUGAGGUUUGCACGAUUAUAGCUUCCUGGCCUCUCGUCGACGUCUG